GACGCAAAAACGCACUCCGAACUGGAUAAUACAGCACGAUAGCGAAGCAGAGGCCUUCCAACGCCUCCUCCCUCGCCGCUCUCCCUUCCUUCCGCUCUCAUCCCCUCCCCCUCCCGUCGCCAUGGCCGUCUCCACCUCCACCUCCACGCUCCCACUCCUCUUCCUCCACCGCUCCACCGCAAGCCCGAACCCCUCGGCGCUCUCCUUCGCCUCCUCCCUCCGCGCGUCCCCGCUGCGCUCCCGCGCCUCCGCCUCCGCCGCCCCGCCAGCCGAGACCCUCGCCGACGACCUGCCCUCCGACACGCCCCCGG
rnacentral:lncRNA from 1 species